rnacentral:misc_RNA from 1 species
GAUGAAGAACGUAGUAAAAUGCGAUAAGUAAUGUGAAUUGCAGAAUUCAGUGAUUCAUCGAAUCUUUGAACGCACAUUGCGCCCGCCAGUAUUCUGGCGGGCAUGCCUGUUCGAGCGUCAUUUCAACCCUCAAGCACAGCUUGGUGUUGGGACUCGCGUUAAUUCGCGUUCCUCAAAUUGAUUGGCGGUCACGUCGAGCUUCCAUAGCGUAGUAGUAAAACCCUCGUUACUGGUAAUCGUCGCGGCCACGCCGUUAAACCCCAACUUCUGAAUGUUGACCUCGGAUCAGGUAGGAAUACCCGCUGAACUUAAGCAUAUCAAUAAGCGGAGGA